rnacentral:rRNA from 1 species
AUUGAACGCUGGCGGCAGGCCUAACACAUGCAAGUCGAACGAGUGGCGGACGGGUGAGUAAUGUCUGGGAAACUGCCUGAUGGGGGGGGAUAACUACUGGAAAAGGUAGCUAAUACCGCAUACCAUCGGAUGUGCCCAGAUGGGAUUCGCUAGUAGGUGGGGUAACGGCUCACCUGGGCGACGAGCCCUAGCUGGUCUGAGAGGAUGACCAGCAAAACUGGAACGGAGACACGGGCCAGAGUCCUACGGGAGGCAGCAGUGGGGAAUAUUGCACAAUGGGCGAAAGCCGGAUGCAGCCAUGCCGCGUGUAGGAAGAAGGCCUUCGGGUUGUAAAGUACUUUCAGCGGGGAGGCGUUACCCGCAGAAGAAGCACCGGCUAACUCCGUGCCAGCAGCCGCGGUAAUAC